CCUACGGGAGACAGCAGUGGGGAAUAUUGGGCAAUGGACGCAAGCCUGACCCAGCAACGCCGCGUGAAGGAAGAAGGCUUUCGGGUUGUAAACUUCUUUUGUCAGGGAAGAGUAGAAGACGGUACCUGACGAAUAAGCCACGGCUAACUACGUGCCAGCAGCCGCGGUAAUACGUAGGUGGCAAGCGUUGUCCGGAUUUACGGGGUGUAAAGGGCGUGUAGCCGGGUUGACAAGUCAGAUGUGAAAUCCUGAGGCUUAACCGCAGAACUGCAUUUGAAACUGUUGAUCUUGAGUACUGGAGAGGCAGACGGAAUGUCUGGUGUAGCGGUGAAAUGCGUAGAUAUUAGGAAGAACACCGGUGGCGAAGGCGGUCUGCUGGACAGCAACUGACGGUGAGGCGCGAAAGCGUGGGGAGCAAACAGGAUUAGAUACCCCUGUAGUC
rnacentral:rRNA from 1 species